rnacentral:rRNA from 1 species
UACGAGAGGCCCAAACGUUAUUCGGAAUUACUGGGCUUAAAGAGUUCGUAGGCGGUCUAGAAAGUUGGGUGUGAAAGCCCUCGGCUCAACCGAGGAACUGCGCUCAAAACUACUAGACUUGAGGGAGAUAGAGGUGAGCGGAACUGAUGGUGGAGCGGUGAAAUGCGUAGAUAUCUGGAGGAACACCGGUGGCGAAGGCGGCAUCCUGGACCGGUAUUGACGCUGAGGCGCGAAAGCCAGGGGAGCAAACGGG